UACGUAGGGUGCAAGCGUUAAUCGGAAUUACUGGGCGUAAAGCGUGCGUAGGCGGUGAGUUAAGUCUGUCGUGAAAUCCCCGGGCUCAACCUGGGAAUGGCGAUGGAUACUGGCUCGCUAGAGUGUGAUAGAGGAUGGUGGAAUUCCCGGUGUAGCGGUGAAAUGCGUAGAUAUACGGAGGAACACCAGCGGCGAAGGCGGGUCGCUGGGCGAACAACUGACGCUGGAGAACGCGAAAAGCGUGGGGAGCAAACAGG
rnacentral:rRNA from 1 species